rnacentral:tRNA from 2 species
GCCCGUGUAGCUCAGUUGGUAGAGCAAAGCAUUCGUAAUGCUUAGGUCGGAGGUUCGACUCCUCUCGCGGGCUCCA